CAGAAAGCCACAGCUAACUACGUGCCAGCAGCCGCGGUAGUACGUAGGUGGCAUGCGUUAUCCAGAUUUAUGGGGCGUAAAGCGAGCGCAGGCGGUCUUUAAAGUCUAAUGUGAAAGCCUUCGGCUCAACCGAAGAAGUGCAUUGGAAACUGGGAGACUUGAGUGCAGAAGAGGACAGUGGAACUCCAUGUGUAGCGGUGAAAUGCGUAGAUAUAUGGAAGAACACCAGUGGCGAAGGCGGCUGUCUGGUCUGCAACUGACGCUGAGGCUCGAAAGCAUGGGUAGCGAACAGGAUUAGAUACCCUGGUAGUCCAUGCCGUAAACGAUGAUUACUAAGUGUUGGAGGGUUUCCGCCCUUCAGUGCUGCAGCUAACGCAUUAAGUAAUCCGCCUGGGGAGUACGACCGCAAGGUUGAAACUCAAAAGAAUUGACGGGGGCCCGCACAAGCGGUGGAGCAUGUGGUUUAAUUCGAAGCUACGCGAAGAACCUUACCAGGUCUUGACAUCUUCUGACAGUCUAAGAGAUUAGAGGUUCCCUUCGGGGACAGAAUGACAGGUGGUGCAUGGUUGUCGUCAGCUCGUGUCGUGAGAUGUUGGGUUAAGUCCCGCAACGAGCGCAACCCUUAUUACUAGUUGCCAGCAUUAAGUUGGGCACUCUAGUGAGACUGCCGGUGACAAACCGGAGGAAGGUGGGGACGACGUCAAAUCAUCAUGCCCCUUAUGACCUGGGCUACACACGUGCUACAAUGGAUGGUACAACGAGUCGCGAGACCGCGAGGUUAAGCUAAUCUCUUAAAACCAUUCUCAGUUCGGACUGUAGGCUGCAACUCGCCUACACGAAGUCGGAAUCGCUAGUAAUCGCGGAUCAGCAUGCCGCGGUGAAUACGUUCCCGGGCCUUGUACACACCGCCCGUCACACCAUGAGAGUUUGUAACACCCAAAGCCGGUGGGGUAACCUUUUAGGAGCUAGCCGUCUAAGGUGGGACAGAUGAUUAGGGUGAAGUCG
rnacentral:rRNA from 1 species